GUGGGGAAUUUUGGACAAUGGGCGCAAGCCUGAUCCAGCAAUGCCGCGUGCAGGAAGAAGGCCUUCGGGUUGUAAACUGCUUUUGUACGGAACGAAACGGUCCUGGUUAAUACCUGGGGCUAAUGACGGUACCGUAAGAAUAAGCACCGGCUAACUACGUGCCAGCAGCCGCGGUAAUACGUAGGGUGCAAGCGUUAAUCGGAAUUACUGGGCGUAAAGCGUGCGCAGGCGGUUUUGUAAGACAGUCGUGAAAUCCCCGGGGUCAACCUGGGAAUUGCGCUUGUGACUGCAAGGCUGGAGUGUGUCAGAGGGAGGUGGAAUUCCGCGUGUAGCAGUGAAAUGCGUAGAGAUGCGGAGGAACACCGAUGGCGAAGGCAGCCUCCUGGGAUAACACUGACGCUCAGGCACGAAAGCGUGGGGAGCAAACAGGAUUAGAUACCCCGGUAGUCC
rnacentral:rRNA from 1 species